rnacentral:rRNA from 1 species
AAUACCGGUGACGCGUAUCCCGGCAGUGAGUCGGCGGGGGAUAAGCUCCGUCGUCGAAAGGGAGACAGCCCAGAUCGUCGUCUAAGGUCCCCAAGCGCGUGCUAAGUGGGAAAGGAUGUGGAGUCGCAUAGACAGCCAGGAGGUUGGCUCAGAAGCAGCCAUCCUUGAAAGAGUGCGUAACAGCUCACUGGUCUAGUGGUUCCGCGCCGACAAUGUAGCGGGGCUCAAGCACACCACCGAAGACGCGGCAGCGUCCGUUUGGAUGCUGGGUAGGAGAGCGUCCCCAUCGGGGCGAAGCGGCGGCGCAAGCCUGCCGUGGACCGUUGGGGAGUGAGAAUGCAGACAUGAGUAGCGAGAGGCGGGGGCGAAUCCCGCCCGCUGGAUGACCAAGGGUUCCGGGGCCACGUUCGUCGUCCCCGGGUGAGUCGGGUCCUAAGGCGAGGCCGACAGGCGUAGUCGAAUGGAUGAACGGGUGGAUAUUCCCGUACCGGCGGCGUACCGUAAGAGCCGAACGGAUGAGUACUAACCUCCGGUCGCGUGGCGUCGUUCCCUUCGGGGUUCGGGGUCCGCGGUCGUUGGGAGCGUAGUCCCGGUAGGCUAGCGCACAGGGGUGACACGGAAUGGGAGCCGGCCGCGGAGGUGGUUUUCCGUGGUCAAGCGUUCGAGCCCGUCCCGCAGGCAAAUCCGCGGGGCGUCGGGGCGAGGCGUGAUGAUGGGGGCCUUACGGCCCGAAUCCGGUGAUCCGUGGUGCCGAGAAAAGCUUCGGCGUCAGGCGCGUUGCCGCCCGUACCCCAAACCGACACUGGUGGUCAGGUAGAGAAUACCAAAGCGAUCGAGCGAAUCCUGGUCAAGGAACUCGGCAAAUUGCUCCCGUGCCUUCGGCAUAAGGGAGACCCCCUGCGGUGAUGAGCGGCGGGGGGUGGCACAGGCCAGGGGGUAGCGACUGUUUACCAAAAACACAGGAGCGUGCGAAGGCGCAAGCCGCUGUAUACGCUCUGACGCCUGCCCGGUGCCGGAAGGUUAAGAGGAUCCGUCAGGCUUCGGCCGAAGCGGUGAAUUCAAGCCCCGGUAAACGGCGGUGGUAACUAUAACCAUCCUAAGGUAGCGAAAUUCCUUGUCGGGUAAGUUCCGACCUGCACGAAUGGCGUAACGACUUCCCCACUGUCUCGACCAGGAGCUCGGCGAAAUUGCAGUACGAGUAAAGAUGCUCGUUAAGCGCAGAAGGACGAAAAGACCCCGGGACCUUUACUAUACCUUGGUAUUGGCAUUAGGCGCGGAUUGUGUAGCAUAGGCGGGAGGCUUCGAGGCGGGUGCGCCAGCAUCCGCGGAGCCGCAAGGUGAAAUACCGCUCUGUUCUCGUUUGAUGUCUAACCUCGAACAGUCAUCCUGUUCAGGGACAGUGCCUGGCGGGUAGUUUAACUGGGGCGGUUGCCUCCCAAAGAGUAACGGAGGCGCUCAAAGGUCCGCUCGGCCCGGUUGGCAAUCGGGUGUCGAGUGUAAUCGCACAAGCGGGCUUGACUGCGAGAUCGACGGAUCGAGCAGGGACGAAAGUCGGAGAUAGUGAUCCGGUGCCGGCGCACGGGCGCGGCAUCGCUCAACGGAUAAAAGGUACCCCGGGGAUAACAGGCUGAUCAUUCCCAAGAGUCCAUAUCGACGGGAUGGUUUGGCACCUCGAUGUCGGCUCGUCGCAUCCUGGGGCUGUAGUCGGUCCCAAGGGUUGGGCUGUUCGCCCAUUAAAGCGGCACGCGAGCUGGGUUCAGAACGUCGUGAGACAGUUCGGUCCCUAUCCGUCGCGGGCGUUGGAAAUUUGAGAGGAUCUGUCCUUAGUACGAGAGGACCGGGAUGGACUUACCGCUGGUGUACCAGUUGUCUCGCCAGAGGCAUCGCUGGGUAGCUAUGUAGGGAAGGGAUAAACGCUGAAAGCAUCUAAGUGUGAAGCCCACCUCAAGAUGAGAUUUCCCAUUUCU